rnacentral:rRNA from 1 species
CCUACGGGAGGCUGCAGUGGGGAAUAUUGGACAAUGGGGGCAACCCUGAUCCAGCCAUGCCGCGUGUGUGAAGAAGGCCCUCGGGUUGUAAAGCACUUUCAGUGAGGAAGAACGCCUGGUGGUUAAUACCCAUCAGGAAAGACAUCACUCACAGAAGAAGCACCGACUAACUCCGUGCCAGCAGCCGCGGUAAUACGGAGGGUGCGAGCGUUAAUCGGAAUUACUGGGCGUAAAGCGCGCGUAGGUGGCUUGAUAAGCCGGUUGUGAAAGCCCCGGGCUCAACCUGGGAACGGCAUCCGGAACUGGCAAGCUAGAGUGCAGGAGAGGAAGGUAGAAUUCCCGGUGUAGCGGUGAAAUGCGUAGAGAUCGGGAGGAAUACCAGUGGCGAAGGCGGCCUUCUGGACUGACACUGACACUGAGGUGCGAAAGCGUGGGUAGCAAACAGGAUUAGAUACCCUUGUAGUC